AGAGUUUGAUCCUGGCUCAGGACGAACGCUGGCGGCGCGCCUAACACAUGCAAGUCGAACGAGAGAUGAGGAGCUUGCUCUUCAAAUCGAGUGGCGAACGGGUGAGUAACGCGUGAGGAACCUGCCUCAAAGAGGGGGACAACAGUUGGAAACGACUGCUAAUACCGCAUAAGCCCACGACCCGGCAUCGGGCAGAGGGAAAAGGAGCAAUCCGCUUUGAGAUGGCCUCGCGUCCGAUUAGCUAGUUGGUGAGGUAACGGCCCACCAAGGCGACGAUCGGUAGCCGGACUGAGAGGUUGAACGGCCACAUUGGGACUGAGACACGGCCCAGACUCCUACGGGAGGCAGCAGUGGGGAAUAUUGCACAAUGGGGGAAACCCUGAUGCAGCGACGCCGCGUGGAGGAAGAAGGUCUUCGGAUUGUAAACUCCUGUUGUUGAGGAAGAUAAUGACGGUACUCAACAAGGAAGUGACGGCUAACUACGUGCCAGCAGCCGCGGUAAAACGUAGGUCACAAGCGUUGUCCGGAAUUACUGGGUGUAAAGGGAGCGCAGGCGGGAAGACAAGUUGGAAGUGAAAUCUAUGGGCUCAACCCAUAAACUGCUUUCAAAACUGUUUUUCUUGAGUAGUGCAGAGGUAGGCGGAAUUCCCGGUGUAGCGGUGGAAUGCGUAGAUAUCGGGAGGAACACCAGUGGCGAAGGCGGCCUACUGGGCACCAACUGACGCUGAGGCUCGAAAGUGUGGGUAGCAAACAGGAUUAGAUACCCUGGUAGUCCACACCGUAAACGAUGAUUACUAGGUGUUGGAGGAUUGACCCCUUCAGUGCCGCAGUUAACACAAUAAGUAAUCCACCUGGGGAGUACGACCGCAAGGUUGAAACUCAAAGGAAUUGACGGGGGCCCGCACAAGCAGUGGAGUAUGUGGUUUAAUUCGACGCAACGCGAAGAACCUUACCAAGUCUUGACAUCCCUUGACGAUGCUGGAAACAGCAUUUCUCUUCGGAGCAAGGAGACAGGUGGUGCAUGGUUGUCGUCAGCUCGUGUCGUGAGAUGUUGGGUUAAG
rnacentral:rRNA from 1 species